rnacentral:rRNA from 1 species
ACGCUAUGCGUUGUAAACUGCUUUUGCCAGGGGAUAAAAAGGGCGUGCGCGCCAUAUUGAAGGUACCUGGUGAAUAAGCCACGGCUAACUACGUGCCAGCAGCCGCGGUAAUACGUAGGUGGCAAGCGUUGUCCGGAUUUAUUGGGUUUAAAGGGUGCGUAGGCGGCUCUGUAAGUCAGUGGUGAAAUAUCUCAGCUUAACUGAGAGGGUGCCAUUGAUACUGCGGAGCUUGAGUACAGAUGAGGUAGGCGGAAUUGACGGUGUAGCGGUGAAAUGCAUAGAUAUCGUCAAGAACACCGAUAGCGAAGGCAGCUUACCAAGCUGUAACUGACGCUGAGGCACGAAAGGUGUGGGGAUCAAACAGGAUUAGAUACCCUGGUAGUCCACACUGUAAACGUUGAUGACUCGAUGUUGGCGAUACACAGCCAGCGUCCAAGAGCAAUCGUUAAGUCAUCCACCUGGGGAGUACGCCGGCAACGGUG